rnacentral:rRNA from 1 species
AUGACCGAAGUUCCAUGAGGAUAUAUAGCCCAGAGAUGACGAACAAAAAUGUGUUCAUUUGCCUCAAACUUUAGAGGCGCUCAUUUAAGACUUAAUCGAAUGAUUACCAACAGGUAAAAAGAGCUUUUGUUUCCUCUCAUCAAGAGGGACAUCAUCCGCCCAAGGGGUGAUUCCUCUCAUCAAGAGGGACAUCAUCCGCCCAAGCAUCACCCCUGCAAGGACUAA